rnacentral:pre_miRNA from 1 species
AGUGGAAUUGCUGGGUCAUGUGGUAACUCUAUGUUCAAAUUUUUGAAGAACCAUCAGACUGUUUUCCAAAGUGGCUGUGCCGCUCUACAUUCCCAUCAGCAAU